rnacentral:tRNA from 1 species
GCCGCCGUAGCUCAAUGGUAGAGCACCACUACCCCUCAUGGGGCGUGCAGAUGUGAGUUCGACCCUCACCAGCGGCC